rnacentral:rRNA from 1 species
AGAUUGAACGCUGGCGGCAUGCCUUACACAUGCAAGUCGAACGGCAGCACGGGAGCAAUCCUGGUGGCGAGUGGCGAACGGGUGAGUAAUACAUCGGAACGUGCCCAGUUGUGGGGGAUAGCCCGGCGAAAGCCGGAUUAAUACCGCAUACGACCUACGGGUGAAAGCGGGGGAUCGCAAGACCUCGCGCUAUUGGAGCGGCCGAUGUCGGAUUAGCUUGUUGGUAGGGUAAAAGCCUACCAAGGCUACGAUCCGUAGCUGGUCUGAGAGGACGACCAGCCACACUGGGACUGAGACACCGGCCCAGACUCCUACGGGAGCAGCAGUGGGGAAUUUGGACAAGUGGGCGCAAGCCUGAUCCAGCCAUGCCGCGUGGCGGGAAGAAGGCCUUCGGGGUUGUAAACCGGUCUUUGUCGAGGAAGAAACGGUUCGAGCUAAUACCUUGACGUACUAAGU